CAAAGGAAUAGACGGGGACCCGCACAAGCAGCGGAGCAUGUGGUUUAAUUCGAUGCAACGCGAAGAACCUUACCAGGGCUUGACAUGUGGGUGAAAGCUGUAGAGAUACAGCCCUCUCUUCGGAGACAUCCAUACAGGUGGUGCAUGGUUGUCGUCAGCUCGUGUCGUGAGAUGUUGGGUUAAGUCCCGCAACGAGCGCAACCCCUAUCUUUAGUUACUAACAGUUAGGCUGAGGACUCUAGAGAGACUGCCGGUGACAAACCGGAGGAAGGUGGGGACGACGUCAAAUCAU
rnacentral:rRNA from 1 species